UACGUAGGAUCCAAGCGUUAUCCGGAAUUACUGGGCGUAAAGCGUACGUAGGUGGAGAUUUAAGUGAGAUGCGAAAUCUGGCGGCUCAACCGUCUAGACUGUGUCUCAUACUGGGUUUCUUGAGGUUGGCAGAGGCAAGUGGAAUUUCCGGUGUAGCAGUGAAAUGCGUAGAGAUCGGAAGGAACACCAAUGGCGAAGGCAGCUUGCUGGGCCACACCUGACACUGAGGUACGAAAGCGUGGGGA
rnacentral:rRNA from 1 species